GAUGAACGCUGGCGGCGUGCCUAACACAUGCAAGUCGAACGGUCAGACGAUGAGCUUGCUCUUUUUCGGUUAGCGGCGGACGGGUGAGUAACACGUGCAUAACCUUCCUCUUUGUCUUGGAUAACCGCGUGAAAGUGUAUCUAAUACGGGAUCAUCUGCUCAACCUGAUGGAUCAGUGUAGAAAGGGGGUUGUGUCGGUAGUUGUAGGGCACGCCGCGUCGCAUUAGCUAGGUGGUAAGGUAACGGCCUACCAAGGCGACGAUGCGUAGCUGACCUGAGAGGGUGAUCGGCCACACUUGAACUGAGCCACGGUCCAGACUCCUACGGGAGGCAGCAGUGGGGAAUCUUCCACAAUGGGCGAAAGCCUGACCGAGCAACGCCGCGUGGGUGAUGAAGUGCUUCGGAUCGUAAAGCGCUGCUAUUGGGGAAGAAAAGCAGUCUUGGCAACUGUGGCUGUCUUGACGGUACCUAAACAAAAAGCCCCGGCUAACUACGUG
rnacentral:rRNA from 1 species